rnacentral:rRNA from 1 species
GAUGAACGCUGGCGGCGCGCCUAACACAUGCCAGUCGAACGAUUAAAGCACCUUCGGGUGUGUAUAAAGUGGCGAACGGCUGAGUAACACGUGGGCAACCUGCCCCUUUCAUUGGGAUAGCCACGGGAAACCGUGGAUAAUACCGAAUACUUCGAGACUUCCGCAUGGAAGACUCGAGAAAGCUCCGGCGGAGAGGGAUGGGCCCGCGGCCUGUUAGCUUGUUGGUGGGGUAACGGCCUACCAAGGCAAUGAUGGGUAGCUGGGUUGAGAGACCGACCAGCAAGAUUGGGACUGAGACACGGCCCAGACUCCUACGGGAGGCAGCAGUGGGGAAUCUUGCACAAUGGGCGAAAGCCUGAUGCAGCGACGCCGCGUGCGGGAUGAAGGCCUUCGGGUGGUAAACCGCUUUCAGCAGGGACGAGGCGAAAGUGACGGUACCUGCAGAAGAAGCCCCGGCUAACUACGU